rnacentral:misc_RNA from 1 species
GAUGAAGAACGUAGCGAAAUGCGAUAAGUAGUGUGAAUAGCAGAAUUCAGUGAAUCAUCGAAUCUUUGAACGCACAUUGCGCCCUUUGGUAUUCCAAAGGGCAUGCCUGUUCGAGCGUCAUUUGUACCCUCAAGCUUUGCUUGGUGUUGGGCGUCUUGUCUCUAGCUUUGCUGGAGACUCGCCUUAAAGUAAUUGGCAGCCGGCCUACUGGUUUCGGAGCGCAGCACAAGUCGCACUCUCUAUCAGCAAAGGUCUAGCAUCCAUUAAGCCUUUUUUUCAACUUUUGACCUCGGAUCAGGUAGGGAUACCCGCUGAACUUAAGCAUAUCAAUAAGCGGAGGA